GUGCGAUAAGUAAUGUGAAUUGCAGAAUUCCGUGAAUCAUCGAAUCUUUGAACGCAAAUUGCACUCUCUUCGGAGAGUAUGCCUGUUUGAGGGUCAGUAUUAAUAAAAUCGGGGUGUUGCUCUUUUGUGACACAACGGAGUUUGGGCUACCUUUGACUUUCGGGUUUAAGUGGCUUAAAAUUGAACUUUUUUGCGCACUUUUAGACGUACAUAAAUUUUUUUAUCGUCUACUGGUGCCAAUUACUUAUUAGGUGCGAUCAUGUUAUAUGAUCUCGUGCCUAUAAUUUCUCAUCUUUUGACCUCAAAUCAGGUAAGGACACCCGCUGAACUUAA
rnacentral:misc_RNA from 1 species